CCUACGGGACGCACCAGUAGGGAAUCUUCGGCAAUGGACGAAAGUNCGACCGAGCAACGCCGCGUGAGUGAAGAAGGUUUUCGGAUCGUAAAACUCUGUUGUUAGAGAAGAACAAGUAGGAGAGUNACUGCUCUUACCUUGACGGUAUCUAACCAGAAAGCCACGGCUAACUACGUGCCAGCAGCCGCGGUAAUACGUAGGUGGCAAGCGUUGUCCGGAUUUAUUGGGCGUAAAGCGAGCGCAGGCGGUCUUUUGAGUCUGAUGUGAAAGCCCUCGGCUCAACCGAGGAAGGUCAUUGGAAACUGGAGGACUUGAAUGCAGAAGAGGAGAGUGGAAUUCCAUGUGUAGCGGUGAAAUGCGUAGAUAUAUGGAGGAACACCAGUGGCGAAGGCGACUCUCUGGUCUGUAACUGACGCUGAGGCUCGAAAGCGUGGGGAGCAAACAGGAUUAGAUACCCCUGUAGUC
rnacentral:rRNA from 1 species